ensembl:lincRNA
CACAUUAUAGAAGCAGGAAAGGGGAAUUGGUUGCCAAGAGAGGAGUCUCCUAAUGAGCAGGAAUGCUUGAAAAAUCCUUAAGUACGAGGAGAGAAGUGUAAACAAAAUGAAGUCAUAAAAGUGGGAAUUCUAAUGGUAAUGGAGCACAGAGGAACGAAGAAGAUUACAGUUGUCAAACUAAAGUAUAUGGACAUAGCUGGGAAGAAAAUUCAAGAAGAAUGUAGGAAAUCUGGAAAAGUGAGAAAGGAUGAGAUUGUGAGUGAUGUUAUGUGCUGGUUAAAAGUACCUGUAGUACUUGAAUACGAUCAGCAUCCAGCUUUGUCAACAACGUAGAAGCAGAAUCCAGAACUUUUCCAAUAAAUUAAGGAUCCUGAGAUGAAGAGAUGAUCCUGGAUUAUCCAGGUGCACCCAGUGUAAUCCCAAGUGUCCAGAUAAGAAAGAAGCAGAAAAGUCAGAGUCAGAGAAGGAGAUGUGACCAUGGAAGCGGGGUCCUACUUAUGUGACUGAAGAUUGAGAAAGGGCCGGGAGCCAAGGAAUACAGGUAGCCUCUAGAAGCCAGAAAACACAAGGGAAUAGACUUUCUAGUGCACUCUCUCAAGGGAACACAGCCCCAGAUUUUAUUCCAGUGAAAACCAUUGAAAACUUUUGUCCUCCAG